UGGGGAAUAUUGGACAAUGGGCGCAAGCCUGAUCCAGCCAUGCCGCGUGAGUGAUGACGGCCUUAGGGUUGUAAAGCUCUUUCGCUCGGGACGAUAAUGACGGUACCGAGAUAAGAAGCCCCGGCUAACUUCGUGCCAGCAGCCGCGGUAAUACGAAGGGGGCUAGCGUUGUUCGGAAUUACUGGGCGUAAAGCGCGUGUAGGCGGGUCUUUAAGUCAGGGGUGAAAUGCCAAGGCUCAACCUUGGAACUGCCUUUGAUACUGGAGAUCUUGAGUCCGGGAGAGGUGAGUGGAAUUGCGAGUGUAGAGGUGAAAUUCGUAGAUAUUCGCAAGAACACCAGUGGCGAAGGCGGCUCACUGGCCCGGAACUGACGCUGAGACGCGAAAGCGUGGGGAGCAAACAGGAUUAGAUACCCUGGUAGUCCACGCUGUAAACGAUGGAUGCUAGCCGUUGGGGAGCUUGCUCUUCAGUGGCGCAGCUAACGCUUUAAGCAUCCCGCCUGGGGAGUACGGUCGCAAGAUUA
rnacentral:rRNA from 1 species